UUAUGAUGUCACUGAGAACUGCCAUCUCCUACCUGCUAAACAGCUUUCCUUACACUUACCAGAUUCGAGGGUGUCAUUUCCAGGAACCUUAUCAAGUAGUGAAGUCCAGAUGAUUCUGAGAAGAUCGCAGCGCAUGAUUCCCAUGUGUGGAAGGCUCAGAUCAAGGCUAUUUCUUCAGAGAAACCACUCAAUCCCUAUUCAAGACUCACUGAACUUUCCCAUGGACCAGAUUUGAGGGUGCCCUUUCCAAGAGUGUCUCCUGUGACAUACUGGAAAACUUUACAUACUAUAUAUCUCUAAAGCUAGAGACUUCUCUUUGCUUCAUUAGUACUUGCAUGCUCGGAAUAGAGAAUGUUGGUCGGGGCUUGGCAUUGGUAAAAAAGAUCUAGGAACAUGGUGUGGAGGAGAUUAUUCAGGAUAAUAAUUCCACUUCCACGUCCAUUCCUGUGACAUACAGUUCAAGCUCCUAGGUUUUUUCUGUUUCCCAAAGUCCAAUAUAUUCCCUCCAGACGUUUAAUUGAAUGUAUAUUGUAUUACAUUUUCUUAUUGUACAUUCUUUGAAAGAGGACUUUAUAUAUAUUCCUGAAUGUGUACUCAAAAA